AUGGGAUGGACGUCAUUCGAAGGUAGAGAGGCAAUAAGUAAACUAAAAUUUGAACAGAGACUCCCAGCACUGGAGGAAAAAAGGUGGGCAGGAAAAGUGUACAAAUAUCUGUACAUGAAAAGUUUGAACACAAAGUGGACACUCAGAACGAGGAAGCUGAGGAAUAGAUACCUACAGCCGAGGGAGGGGGUCCAACGUGGUUCUAGUGUGGGAAAGGAGGUGAAGGAGACGGAAAGAAAAAUGUGGGAAGAAAGAAUGCUCGGAAAGCCAGCGCUAUCAAUGUAUAGGUCACAAAAACAGGAGAUUAAGAGAGAGCUCUUAUUUGAUAACUCGCGGGGCAGCUCACUAUUAUUCGAAGCUAGGACGGGGGUUUUGAGAACGAAAACAUACAGGGCUAAAUUUGAAGACGUGGACCUUCGGUGCACAGCAUGCGGAACCGAAAUGGAGACCACUGAGCAUAUAGUGCUGAGAUGCACAGACCUUCGCCCAACCCUGGCAGAGGGAACAGUGGCAGAUAUGGAAGGGGCAUUAGGUUUUCCCGGGGAACGAGGGCAAAUAGACGAGAAAAGAGUGGCAGUAACGAAGGGGAGGCUAGAAGAUUGUUGGAGGAAGUCAAGGGAUAGAUAACACCAUAAAUCGGGGAGAUAAUGUUUCCUCUACUGUGUUAGAUAGUUAUAUUGGGGGGAGGAGGGGAGUGAAAACUAGGUUAAGGAAAAGAGGAUAUAAAGAAAGGGGAAAAAGAAUAAUAAUAAUAAAAUAGGAAGGGGAGAAAAAGGCUAGGUGGCGCCAGCCGCCGCCCGAUACAAAGGGUAUAGCCACCAUCCAUCCAUCCAUCCAUCCAUUGAAAAAACGGCCACUGCCGCCCCCAAUGUCUCGGGCGUGGGUUCGUUAUGCCACUUGUGCGUCAUUCAAAGCCGUUCUGUACAUUUAUACUGGAUAUUAAUUGGAGUCAUUUAGCUGUGCUGAUUCUGCUUGCCGUGUGUUUUGCAUCAGUGCUUCGUGACAUCGGCUGUAUUGCGUGUUUUCGCCGACGGCUUACUACCACAAUGGCGUGAUCUGCGUUCGCCGCCUUCGUGUCUCGGUGCGUCUUUGUAUACGUCGCACGUUCGGACAACACUUUUUCCGACGGCUGGACAUCCCUCUUGUACCUUCGCGCUAGCUGGAUGACGGGACCUCAUCAUGAUAAGCCAAUGUAUUGCUUGCCUAUGUCUACAAGAACCAUCACGCGUGGCCUGUGACAGCAAGCUUUUGUGGGCAGCAAGUGCUCUCCUACGAAGGCUGGCCUACUCUGGCAGCGGCGGCAAUCAUCUUCAAGAUUUAUCCAUGAUCACCUUUGCUGCUAUUUGUCACUCUUGUUGAUUACACUUUCUGCAUCUUUUCUAAUUUAUUAGGUAAUAAAGUAUGAGUAUGUGA